CACAGCUAUUUAUAAAACAUGUGAUUAUUUAUGCAUUGGGUUAUGAGAAGUUCGGCUAGGAGAGGCCGUGAAGGCGGCUCCAUCAAUCCAGUUACCUGAACCCCGGAGAGGUGGAGGGAGGGUUUCUCAGCAGAAAUGGGGCCGGACAGGAAGUUGGCUGCCGUGAUUUGUCUGAAAUAUGUCAGCCUCACUGCCUCUCCCAGAAAGGGUAGACAGGGAGAAAGAGGGAUAGCAAAGUUGAGGGUAGAGGUCACGUUUUUUAGAAACCAGGAUGCACACUGAGAAAGCAAAAAGCAGAAGCCCCCACAAACUGCUCCUCAUACCUUGGGUCAGUUCCUGCCUUUAUCUUUGUUUACAAAAUGAUUUUUGGUGGCAGGUCCGCUGAAAUGGCUUGGUCAAAAGGUUCAACUUCAAAGAAAUAGGCGUUGCAAGGGCAGGAAGACUUCCAAACCGGUCUGGGGAUGUCUAAGUUGGGUGCGCUCCUUUGUUCUGCAGGUUUGUUUGCCUUGGUUUUCUGAGUCGCCCGGCCUCUUCCCACUGCGCACCACGCCUCCAUUUCUGACUAUCAGAUCUCCAGAAAAUCAACAAAAGUAACUGCGGGUCCCGUCGGGCUUUCCCUGGCUUGGUGGGUCGCUCUCCCCGGAUGCAGGGAGAACGGGAGGAGAGAUCGAGAUGGGGACGGUCACUCAAUUGUGAUUCUCUCCAGUCCAAGCUGGCAGGGGAGCAUCAAGAACCCCCAAACAGCAAACCAGCCCAACAUGGCUUCCUGGUGGUUCAAAAGGUAAAGAAUCUGGCAGUAAUGCAGGAGAAUCAAGUUUAAUCCCAGGGUCAGGAAGAUCCCCUGGAGGAGGUCAUGGAAACCUAUGCCAGUGUUCUUGCCUGGAGAAUUCCAUGGACAGAGGAGCCUGGUGAGCUACAAUCCAUGGAGUCGCAAAGAGUCAGACACGAUUGAGUGACUAAUACUUAUUUCACUUAGCAUAAUAUUUUCAAAGUUCAUCCACGUGGUAGUAUGUAACAGUAUGUUAUUCCUUUCAAUGACUGAAUAAACUUGUAUGUUUAUACCA